rnacentral:rRNA from 1 species
ACCGGCGCACGGGUGCGUAACGCGUAUGCAACCUACCUCUAACUGGGGAAUAGCCCCGAGAAAUCGGGAUUAAUACCUCAUAACAUUUAUCAUUCGCAUGUUUGAUAAAUUAAAGUUUCGACGGUUAGAGAUGGGCAUGCGUGACAUUAGCUAGUUGGUGAGGUAACGGCUCACCAAGGCUGCGAUGUCUAGGGGUUCUGAGAGGAUUUUCCCCCACACUGGUACUGAGACACGGACCAGACUCCUACGGGAGGCAGCAGUAAGGAAUAUUGGGCAAUGGACGAAAGUCUGACCCAGCCAUGCCGCGUGCAGGAUGACGGCCCUACGGGUUGUAAACUGCUUUUGUAUAGGAAGAAACCUCACUACGUGUAGUGGGCUGACGGUACUAUACGAAUAAGCACCGGCUAACUCCGUGCCAGCAGCCGCGGUAAUACGGAGGGUGCAAGCGUUAUCCGGAUUUAUUGGGUUUAAAGGGUGCGCAGGCGGAAUGAUUAGUCAGUGGUGAAAUCCUACAGCUCAACUGUAGAACUGCCAUUGAUACUGUCAUUCUUGAGUACAGUUGAAGUGGGCGGAAUGUAUCAUGUAGCGGGUGAAAUGCAUAGAUAUGAUACAGAACUCCCUAUAGCGAAGGCAGCUCACUAAACUGUUACUGACGCUCAGCACGAAAGCGUGGGGAGCAAACAGGAUUAGAUACCC